AUUGAACGCUGGCGGCAGGCCUAACACAUGCAAGUCGAACGGAGUGGCGGACGGGUUCGUAAUGCCUAGGCAUCUGCCUGGUAGUUGGGGAUAACGUCCGGGAGCGGGCGCUAAUACCGUCUUCUCUCAGCUGAGCCUGGGUCGGAUUAGCUAGUGGUUAGGGUAAAGGCCUACCAAGGCGACGAUCCGUAACUGGUCUGAGAGGAUGAUCAGUCACACUGGAACUGAGACACGGUCCAGACUCCUACGGGAGGCAGCAGUGGGGAAUAUUGGACAAUGGGCGAAAGCCUGAUCCAGCCAUGCCGCGUGUGUGAAGAAGGUCUUCGGAUUGUAAAGCACUUUAAGUUGGGAGGCGUUACCAACAGAAUAAGCACCGGCUAACUUCGUGCCAGCAGCCGCGGUAAUAC
rnacentral:rRNA from 1 species